rnacentral:rRNA from 1 species
CAAGUCGAACGGUGACAGCAAUGUCACAGUGGCGCACGGGUGAGGAACACGUAGCUAACCUGCCCUCAAGUAUGGGAUAACUUCCCGAAAGGGAUGCUAAUACCGUAUAAGCUCACGGGGAGUAAGUACCAGUGAGAAAAGGUUUACUGCUUGAGGAGGGGGCUGCGGCCCAUCAGGUAGUUGGUGAGGUAACGGCUCACCAAGCCGACGACGGGUAGGGGGUCUGAGAGGAUGGCCCCCCACACUGGGACUGAGACACGGCCCAGACUCCUACGGGAGGCAGCAGUGAGGGAUCUUGCGCAAUGGGGGAAACCCUGACGCAGCGACGCCGCGUGGGUGAUGAAGGCCUUCGGGUCGUAAAACCCUUUUGCCACUGACGAGGAAGGACGGUAGGUGGCGAAUAAGCCUCGGCUAACUACGUGCCAGCAGCCGCGGUAAAACGUAGGAGGCAAGCGUUAUCCGGAGUUACUGGGCGUAAAGCGCGCGCAGGCGGUGCGUUAAGUCGGGCGUGAAAGCCCCGUGCUAAACGCGGGGAGGACGAACGAUACUGGCGAACUGGAGUCGAGCAGAGGGACAUGGAAUUCCGGGUGUAGCGGUGAAAUGUGCAGAU